rnacentral:tRNA from 1 species
GAUCUCUUAGCUCAGCGGUAGAGCGUGAGAUUCCAGUUCAGGUUUCCUCAAGGUCGUCCGUUCAAUCCGGGCAGGGAUCA